ACAACAAAUAAAUAAAAAAAAUUAUAUUCACAAAAAAAUAAAAGAAAAUGAGGGAGUGGUGGCAGUUUAGAAAUCAUGUCCUGAUUUUUCAGCUUUUGCCAGCUCCCACUCUAGUUUUGAACAUUUUGCCAUUCAUUCCUAUGGGACCAAUUUCGCCACAAGAACGAUGAUAUUCCGUGAACCAUUCGACGAAACGUUCCACAAAGUAAUAGCAAUCCAAUUGGGAACAAUCCGCACGGUAUAUUACUGUCUAUGUAGUGUAAAAACUGUGGGAGGAGUUAGGGUGGAAAAUUUGGCUAUAAUAAUGUAUAUGUGAGAUAACAUUAAGUGGUCUUGCUAUGCAAGAACACUUAAUAACAAUAGUAAUAAUAAUCCCACAGUUAAGAACUAUGGGAUCAG